rnacentral:rRNA from 1 species
CCAGACUCCUACGGGAGGCAGCAGUGGGGGAUAUUGCACAAUGGGGGAAACCCUGAUGCAGCGACGCCGCGUGAGGGAAGACGGUUUUCGGAUUGUAAACCUCUGUCUUUGGGGACGAAUUGAGACGGUACCCAAGGAGGAAGCUCCGGCUAACUCCGUGCCAGCAGCCGCGGUAAUACGGAGGAUGCGAGCGUUAUCCGGAUUUAUUGGGUUUAAAGGGAGCGUAGGCCGGCUUUUAAGUCAGCUGUGAAAGUCCGCGGCUCAACCGUGGAAUUGCAGUUGAAACUGGAGGCCUUGAGUGCACACAGGGAUGCCGGAAUUCAUGGUGUAGCGGUGAAAUGCUUAGAUAUCAUGAAGAACUCCGAUCGCGAAGGCAAGUGUCCGGGGUGCAACUGACGCUGAGGCUCGAAAGUGCGGGUAUCAAACAGGAUUAGAUACCCCAGUAUG